rnacentral:rRNA from 1 species
GAUGAACGCUAGCUACAGGCUUAACACAUGCAAGUCGAGGGACCGGCGCACGGGUGAGUAACACGUACCCAACCUGCUCUUUACUCGGGGAUAGCCUUUCGAAAGAAAGAUUAAUAACAGACACAAAGGAUGGGGAUGCGUUCCAUUAGGUUGUGGGUGAGGACACGGCUCACCAAGCCGUCGAUGAAUAGGGGUGCUGAGAGGAAGGUCCCUCACAGUGGAGCUGAGACACGGUACAAACUCCUACUGGAUGCAGCAGUUAGUAAUGUUGUGCAAUGUUCGCUAGCCGGAACCAGCCAAGUAGCGUGAAGGAUUAAGUCUUAUGGGUCGUAAACUUCUUUUAUAUAAGAAUAUGUAUUUAAAGAGUAAGGAACGGCUAACUCCGUGCCAGCAGCCGCGGUAAUUG